CAUUAAAAAUUCUAUUGGAUCCAACACUGAACAAUCAACACCAACAUCAUCACAUAUCAGAGUUCUGAUUACCCCGUAUGUUCCUAACAGAGCACAACUUCACUAUAACUGCUGCAAACCUGGGAGGACCGCAACUGGAUGCGAACAAUUCCUAACAGAUACCAGCCCAUUAUCUGAGGUUGUCCUUGAAACCAAACAGGAGAUACAAAAAUUAAACCAGACAUGGAGUUACUAAUAAAAUAUUUAUUUAAAUGCAAAAAUUUGGAUGCAGGAACCUCUGCAGAAGUAAGCUAGAAACAUGUCAAUGAUGAGAGCUGGCUUACUCUGUGUCACACAGGAUGGUUGAAGCUUGAACAAAGUCCUGGGGACAUGCAAGAGUCACGCAUGGAUAAUUGGAGACAGGUAGACAAGUUCAGGGGUGAUCCAGAAAUGUGGUCACAGUCUAGAGAUCACAAGCUUGGUAGAAUGGCAAAGCAAGGCUGUCAUGUUCCAUGUUUCUAUGUAGUAUUUGCCUGACCUCCUCCUUCCUCAGGGUGUGACAGGCAGGUCUGAUCCCCAGCUGUGCCUCAUCAGAGAAUUGGUGAGGGUUUAAAAGAAGAGCGGAAUCCUGAAGCAGACGCCAGAUGGUCAAAUCACAUCCUGUGACUCAUUGUUCUUCCUGGACUGUACCUGAGCCGCACGCUAGAGCAAGCGGACUGCUUCGUCCCCUCUCCUCCAUCUGCACCAUACGCUGACGCUUAUCUGAAGGCUCCUCUGACCCGUCGCCUGUCUGUCCACCCGCCAACGUUUCCUCACUACCGGAAAAUGCGGAACUGGACUUCCUUCCCCUGCAAUCGCCCGCCUCUUAUUAUUUCCAAUAAACCCUUUUGAACCCACUACUGG